rnacentral:rRNA from 1 species
UACGUAGGGUGCGAGCGUUUAAUCGGAAUUACUGGGCGUAAAGCGUGCGCAGGCGGUUCGUUAAGUUCGUUGUGAAAGCCCCGGGCUCAACCUGGGAACUGCAAUGGAAACUGGCGGGCUUGAGUGUGGCAGAGGGGGGUGGAAUUCCGCGUGUAGCAGUGAAAUGCGUAGAUAUGUGGAGGAACACCGAUGGCGAAGGCAGCCCCCUGGGUUAACACUGACGCUCAUGCACGAAAGCGUGGGGAGCAAACAGG